rnacentral:sRNA from 1 species
AUAGCAGUAAUUUGUUUUACAUUUUUGUUAUACGUGAACACAACCUAGUUUCUUGAAGUCUCAAUCUUUGGUUGUGUUUGUGCUCUGGUGUCAAACAGGCAUUCAAUAAAAUGACUCUUUAAUUCAGUGAAAUAAAUGAAUCAUGGAUUCUUAAUAAUGCCUUUUGUUGGGUUGUGAUUUUUAGGUUAAAACUUCAGCAACAAAUUGUGACUAUUGAAAAUGCAGAGAAGGAAAAAAAUGAAAAUUCUGACCUAAAACAGUGGGCUUUAAUUUAUCUUCUUUCUUCUCUUUUAAGCAAAUCAGUAGUUUGCAGAUCCAAGUGACUUCACUUGCACAGUCAGAGAAUGACUUGCUGAAUUCAAACCAAAUGCUGAAGGAAAUGGUGGAGAGAUUAAAACAAGAAUGCCGAAAUUUUAGAAGCCAAGCUGAAAAAGUGCAACUAGAAGCUGAAAAGACAUUGGAAGAGAAACAGAUACAGUGGUUGGAAGAAAAGCAUAAGCUUCAUGAGCGUAUCACAGACAGAGAAGAAAAGUACAAUCAAGCUAAGGAGAAACUGCAGCGAGCUGCAAUUGCCCAGAAAAAGGCAAGUGGUUCUUA